ACCCCUUGAAGACUACAAGGUUGAUAGGCACGAUGUGUAAGUGGAGUGAUCCAUUCAGCAAGCGUGUACUAAUAGGUCGAGGGCUUGACCAC
rnacentral:rRNA from 1 species